GAGAAACUACAGCUAUAGCCUCGAGGUUGGUGCCAAUGGGAGGAAACUCACAUGGGAGGGCACCCCCCGCAGCAUCCGCGAUAGCCACCGGAAAGUCCGUGAUAGCCACGACGGACUCAUCAUUCAGAGGAACAUGGCACUAUUUUUCUCCGGGGGUGACAGGAAAGGGGCGUGUGGCUCUCAGAGACCUGGUGAAGGUUUCCAGCUCUUUCAAUCCUUCUUCCGAGGAUUUUGCUUCCCGAAGAAUCUUAACCAUUGCACUACCAACAAUCACACCAUCUGCUCCCCAUCCAGAUAGCUGAUUCACAUGCUCCGGUUUCGAAAUGCCGAAGCCAACUGCAACAGGUUUGUUUGUUACCUCCUUGAUUUCUUGUAGUAAGGAUUGCAUAUUCGAACUUACAGGUGCAUGGUUGCCUGUAACUCCAGCUGAACGAACGAGGUAGACAAACCCUUCCGAAGCUUUUGUGAUUGCUUUCAUUCUUUCCGGUUGAGUAAUGGGUGUGGUGAUAAAUACCUGCUCAAUAUUGUGCUUCCGAGCUUCGCUCCUUAAAAUUCCAGUUUCUUCAAGAGGAAUAUCAGGCACCACAAGGCCAUGUACACCAACAUUUGAUAUUGUAGACAUGAACUUUGGGAUCCCACGCUUCAAAAUCGGGUUGCAGUACGAUAGCAGAACGAUGGGACAAGAUAAUUGAGGGAUUACCUCCUUUAACAUGGAAAUAAUAUCAUUAAACUUGAUUCCACGAGCUAAGGCAUGUGCAGAAGCGGCCUGGAUAACUGGUCCAUCCACCAAGGGAUCAGAGUAGGGCAUGCCCAAUUCUAUGAUGUCUGCGCCACAUGAGUCAAGAACCUUCAAUGCCUUCGAGGUCGUCCGCAAAUCAGGAUCGCCGGCAGUAAUAUACGGAAUAAAGGCAACCUUCCCUUUAUACUUCAAGUUGGAGAAGGUCCCCGAGAUUCCCAAGGUCCGAACGACCAUUGGUGG
rnacentral:misc_RNA from 1 species